rnacentral:tRNA from 1 species
GGGUCCAUAGCUCAGUGGUAAAGCAAUUGACUGCCGAUCAAGAAGUCACCAAUUCGAACCUAGUUGGGCCCU